GUCACCUUAACUAUGUACCACACACAGAUGUAACGUUAUCUUACCUGAUGUGUUUCGUCCAGCGACUCCUGGUCUUUUUAUCAGCCGGGAAGCAAAAGAACAAGCGAGACCCGUUGCCGGUGUGAGUACAUCCCAGUACGAAUCACACAGGCAUCGGGACUUUGCCUCUCUAUGCAAAGACACACAUACAACUACAUAUCUCCAUCUAUAGCCACAUGCACGACGGACACCUCCAUCCUCCGCUAACAGACAGUUCAGAGGAGAGAGGUGGUUCAGC